rnacentral:rRNA from 1 species
GGUGAGUAACGCGUGGGAAUCUACCUAGAAAUGGGGAAUAACUAUUGGAAACGAUAGCUAAUACCGCAUAAUCCCUUUGGGGCAAAGGCUUCGGCCGUUUUUAGAUGAGCCCGCGUUAGAUUAGGCUGUUGGUGAGGUAAUGGCUCACCAAACCUACAAUCUAUAGCUGGUCUGAGAGGAUGAUCAGCCACACUGGGACUGAGACACGGCCCAGACUCCUACGGGAGGCAGCAGUGGGGAAUAUUGGACAAUGGGGGAAACCCUGAUCCAGCAAUGCCGCGUGAGUGACGAAGGCCUUAGGGUUGUAAAGCUCUUUCAGAAGUGAAGAUGAUGACGGUAACUUCAGAAGAAGCUCCGGCUAACUCCGUGCCAGCAGCCGCGGUAAUACGGAGGGAGCUAGCGUUGUUCGGAAUUACUGGGCGUAAAGAGCGUGUAGGCUGUUAGGUAAGUCAGAGGUGAAAUCCCUAAGCUCAACUUAGGAACUGCCUUUGAUACUAUCUUACUAGAGAUCGAGAGAAGUUGGCGGAAUUCCAAGUGUAGAGGUGAAAUUCGUAGAUAUUUGGAAGAACACCAGUGGCGAAAGCGGCCAACUGGCUCGUUUCUGACGCUAAGACGCGAAAGCGUGGGUAGCAAACAGGAUUAGAUACCCUGGUAGUCCACGCCGUAAACGAUGAGUGCUAGCCGUUUGUGAU